GACUCUACACAAUGAAAGGUGCUCUUUAUCUCCUUUUAGGAAAUUCCUUAGUUUGUUAAGAAGUGGGCUGGCUCCCAGGCCUCAAACCAUCAGGAAGAUCACUACCCAAGGAAACAAAAAAUGCUCUAAUGCAUCUCAAAGUGUGCUUGGCUAUCAGGCUGGCAAAAAUUGCAGACUCAACAAUCCACUCCUUGCUGCCAACUAAAUGAACUCACUGGGCACACCUGUAUCUUUGAUGCUACAGCUGCCCUAGGAGCUGAGGCCUUUCAGAAGCAUGAAGCCUGCAUUAGAGGAGUGGCUUCUGGACAGUUACUUUGAAGCCUACCAGCAUGCUUUGGACCCAGAGGAGAGAUUUGCCUUAGCACAAGUGAUCACAGACAUUAUGCACAGGUGCCCGAGGUUUGACUUCAGUCAUCCUUACUUCAUUAAGGCCUACCGAGAGGAAUGCACCUGUCUGAGGCUUCACCUGCAGCUGGUGAGGGGCAUCCUCAACCAGCAGAUAGAGUGUCAGCGUGAGUAUGUCCAGAGGCUUUGGCAAAAAGGCCAUCCAGAUGCUAGCAAUACAUUUGGACUUCCCCUUAACAUAAUUUGCAAACAACUCAUUUCCAUCAACAAUAGCUGGUAAGUUGGUGUUGUCUUUAGACAUUUUACAUUUAAUUUCUGGAUAAUUUAAGGGUAUGCUGUUAAGUAUACUACUGUUCUACAAAACACCACUCAAAUAUUUGGUGAUGCUGCUGCUGUUGCUGCUAAGUCACUUCAGUCGUGUCCAACUCUGUGUGACCCCAUAGACGGCAGCCUACCAGGCUCCGCCGUCCCUGGGAUUUUCCAGGCAAGAAUGGGUUGCCAUUUCCUUCUCCAAUGCUUGAAAGUGAAAGUGAAGUCGCUCAGUCGUGUCCGACCCUCAGCGACCCCAUGGACUGCAGCCUUCCAGGCUCCUCCAUCCAUGGGAUUUUCCAGGCAAGAGUACUGGAGUGGGAUGCCAUUGCCUUCUCCGAUUUGGUGAUGAGAGAAGUAAAUAUAAAAGGCAUAGAA
rnacentral:lncRNA from 1 species